GGUAGAGCACAACCUUGCCAAGGUUGGGGUCGUGAGUUCGAAUCUCAUCGCCCGCUCCA
rnacentral:tRNA from 1 species